CAAGAAUCCUUUGUCCUAUGUUAUCUGAUAGAUUGCACUAAUGACAUCUAUGGAUACUGCCAUUACCAGGGCUUUCUGCAGCUUUUUUAGUCAUCUUUCUAGUCUGAUAUCUUGCUUUUCCAAGAUUUUCUGAUAUUUUCUGAGAUGGUGCAUGUUGGUUGGAGCCCAUCAGCUUAUCACUUUAAACAUUAUAAUUGCGAAGGAUUGACACUCUAUCUGCUAGUUUUACAUACUCUAUGAACAAAACUAAUCAUUAUACAAUGUCCAUCAAUUUUCUCAUUCGACAUCCAUGUAUUCUUGGUACUGAGGUACUCUGUGAAUCUUUUGUACAUGCAUCAAGGUGAGAUAGAACAAGAUAAAUCCAAGGUAAUAUUUAGUCGUCCCUUGAAUGGUCUUUAUCAGCAGCAUGCAUGAACAUUUAUGAGCUUUAUCCGAAAAUGCAGCUCAUAAUGUUUGAUGGUGAUGGGACUUCCUUGCAAGAACAGUAGGCUGCCAUGUCAACUAUUUUCUCAGAGUAAGGUUAAACUAAUCUGAACUAUUUCAGGGACAUCAUUUCUGAGAGGAAACUGCAGCUCAGAGGAUCAAAGAACAAGUAGUCAUAUUCUGACCUCAAUUUUCUAUAGAGCUCUUUCCUUGAUUUGGCAUUAUUAAUGGUAGAUUAAGUAGUCUUCCCUGCUAGUUCUCAUUCAUGUGUUUUGUCAGUCUCUAAUGUUGUGUUCUAUUACUGUCAGUGAUGUAUAGGAAUAACUGUUUAUAUUCUUGAUCAUACACCUUAAAGUGUAAACAUCAUUUCUGUGGAUUCUCCUCUUGUUUGAUUACCUUUUUAUCAGCAGAUUCAGCAAUAAAAAACAGAUGAAUUUCCCAAGAAACAAAGCUUGCAAUGCUAGAACAUCUGUGGGGCAUAAGCUUUGUAAAGGGAAUACGGAUUAAGAUGGUAUAAACAUGUUCAAAGAAAUUUAUAAAUUCUCUGGUUAGAAAGAAUAGGUGGUGAAUUAGAAUUGGUCAAUAUGAGAAGAUAUGGGCUAAAACCAAGAAAGCUUUACUAGAAAUAACAAAAAGAGAUAAAAAUGCCCUUGAUUGAAUUAUAAAUAAUAUCUUAGAGCAGAAAAGGUAAAUGUGGUCAAAGAAUUAUAUAAAAAUGUCAAAUAUCCAAAGUAAUUACUUUGAUAGCAUUUCCAGAUUGGUCUGUUUCAACUCCCAGUUGAUCACAAUUGGAGCUUUUGACAAGUCCAAGUAUUCUAUUCUGUGUUUCCUUGUCAGUCAUCAUUUACUUCUCAAAAGUGAUGGGAGACCUUCUGCAAAUCUAUGUAAUAGCUGCAGUAUCCCACAGGGCCCCUUCCAAAUUGUAUGAUAACCUUCAUCUAGUCAAGGAAUCAUGGCACCCCUUCAGGGAAGGUGGAUUUGGAUGUCUGGUAGAUGAGACAAUCACAUCAAGCAAUGCAUCCCAAAAGCAUACAGGUGUUGGGCAGCCUUAAUUGCAGUAGAUGAGACAGCUCAGUUCUAGCUGCAGCUAAGAUUUCAUUGGUUUGGUCUCUUUAAUGAUACCAUGACUCAGUCCAGACAUUUGCAAGUUCUUCAUCUGAUCUGAAAACAACCUUUUACUGUUCAAUUUUCCGUGUUUUGUUUGCUUGUACAUCUCUUUAUGUAUGAACUGAAAACAACAAGAAAGAGAACUGAAUGCUCUUGGUUUAGUAAUUGAUAGAAUAUAUUUUUCCGAUCUUAUAUAGUUGGGACAUUACGGUUCGUUAGUGUCACUGUAUCCACCUGUCUAUGAAUUAUUGUUGAAUGAUGUGGUUGUGGUUAUGAUUGACAGUACCUCUUCAGGUUGCCUGUAGCUGUAGGUGGUAGUGUGUCUGAGAGUGAUGCAUGGAAUUACUGGCUAUCAAGCAUGCAACAGUUUUAUUCUAGCUUUAUCUGUGAUAGAUGCAUGGUCUUACAAUGACAUCUGAAAUAGAAAGCACUCAACAGAAAUGAUUGAGUGGUUGUCACUGUUGUACAAAGCUUUUGGUGAGUGGUCAACCUCUUUUGAUUGAUUUGUCUUUCAUGGCAUGUCUCUAACUGGGUUUUGUAGGAAUGAGACUCAGCAAGGAGAGAAACCAAUGCAAGUAUAUACAGAAACGCUUUUGCAGUUCAGAGUUGUUUGCUCCACCAAAUUCAGUGACUGCAUUCUGUGGAGGUUUGAUAUUGACCUCAGUAUGGCACCUUCAGGACUGAAGACAAGCAUUAGGAAAUUUGCACUGCCAAAUCCACAAAUGGAGAGACCAAUUUAUGCUUGGGGAAAGCUUGAAAACAAGUGAUUAUUGUUGUUGAAGUAUCUCAAGAGAGGCUAAAGUGAUCAUAAAGUUCAUUCACCAUAAAGUUACUGUGGAAACCAAGAAUCACUUGAGAGGUGAUGGUGAUUGUUGAUGAAGUGAUAGUGUAGUUCACUCACCAUCAAAUCAAAUCAUCUCCAUUUUCCGGAAAAAAAAGAAAAAUCCAUCAUCCAAUAAUAAUAGCCAUGUGAGUUUUUUUUUUUUAUUGAUUGGCUGCUACUCAUGAUAUCAGAAUUCUCUGCAGACCAUUUCCAUCAACAAUUAUUAUGAGCUGAUUCAGAAACACUCAAACAGAACCAUUGGGGCACUCUCUGCAAGCAAAGAGCUCCAACCUUCAAAAGAAGACUAAAACACCAAUCUGUUUAGAUGCAAAAAUGGAAGGCAUAGACAGUCAUAUAAUGUAGUUGCAAUAGAGGGUCACAACUGCCGAAACCAUGAUAACCUUCCUGUUGUUUUCGACAUUAAGAUUUCAUGACAAAGAGAUUGACCUUCUCCGCAAGUCAUUUGACCACACAUUGCUCAACUAUCGGCGAGUUCAUCUAGUGCAACUAAUCACUCUUCUAGUCCAUCUAUUCUCAAGAAGCCUGCUUACUCAGAAUGAGACUUCAUCAUUUGGCUGGUGCGAUAUUCCUUCUAGUGCUUCUUCUUUUGUAAUAUUGACAAAACAAGAAAUUCUUCCAAUUAAAUAUUCACCUAAUUAUCUUCAA